rnacentral:rRNA from 1 species
CCUACGGGUGGCUGCAGUGGGGAAUAUUGCACAAUGGGCGCAAGCCUGAUGCAGCCAUGCCGCGUGUGUGAAGAAGGCCUUCGGGUUGUAAAGCACUUUCAGCGGGGAGGAAGGCGGUGAGGUUAAUAACCUCAUCGAUUGACGUUACCCGCAGAAGAAGCACCGGCUAACUCCGUGCCAGCAGCCGCGGUAAUACGGAGGGUGCAAGCGUUAAUCGGAAUUACUGGGCGUAAAGCGCACGCAGGCGGUCUGUCAAGUCGGAUGUGAAAUCCCCGGGCUCAACCUGGGAACUGCAUUCGAAACUGGCAGGCUAGAGUCUUGUAGAGGGGGGUAGAAUUCCGGGUGUAGCGGUGAAAUGCGUAGAGAUCUGGAGGAAUACCGGUGGCGAAGGCGGCCCCCUGGACAAAGACUGACGCUCAGGUGCGAAAGCGUGGGGAGCAAACAGGAUUAGAUACCCGAGUAGUC